rnacentral:rRNA from 1 species
UACAGAGGGUGCGAGCGUUAAUCGGAAUUACUGGGCGUAAAGCGUGCGUAGACGGUUAUUUAAGUCGGAUGUGAAAGCCCCGGGCUCAACCUGGGAAUUGCAUUCGAGACUGAAUAGCUAGGGUGCGGUAGAGGGAAGCGGAAUUUCCGGUGUAGCGGUGAAAUGCGUAGAUAUCGGAAGGAACAUCAGUGGCGAAAGCGGCUUCCGUGGACCAGCACCGACGUCAGGCACGAAAGCGUGGGGAGCAAACAGGAAUUAGAACCGUACGGUCGAG